UUUGUUUUUUGCAGUGCAGACAACUCUGAGAUCAUGCAGAUUGAUUUUGAAAUUGAAGACCUCAGUGAUCUACCUGGGACGCAGCUUAUCACAUGGCAGGUUGAAUAUCCUGGGGAUACAUCGUCUGAUCUAGGAGUCUCCAAGAUCUAUGUAAGCCAGAAGGAUCUUGUAGGAGUCUUGCCUUUGGCGAUGGAAGCUGAGAUCCUGAACACAGCGAUUCUCACUGGGAAAACUGUGGCUGUCCCUGUUAAGGUGGUUUCAGUGGAGGUUGAUGGGACAGUGACUGAUCUUCUGGAAUCAGUGGAGUGUAGAUCAUCUGAUGAAGAUGUAAUUAAGGUUUCUGACAGAUGUGACUAUGUCUUUGUCAACGGGAAAGAAAUGAAAGGCAAAGUGAAUGUCAUUGUUAAUUUUACUUACCAGCAUCUGACUGCCUCACUAGAAUUGACUGUCUGGGUUCCUCGCCUCCCACUACAGAUAGAGAUCUCUGACACAGAAUUAAACCAGAUCAAGGGGUGGAGGGUCCCCAUCCUCUCUAAUAAGAGACCAGCUCGAGACAGCGAUGAUGAAGAAGAGGAUGAGCGGAAGGGCAGAGGCUGCACCCUGCAGUACCAGCAUGCCAUGGUGCGAGUCCUAACACAGUUUGUCGCUGAACCCUCCGACUCAGGUGGCCAGCUAAGCUAUUUGCUGGGCUCUGACUGGCAGGUUGAUAUCACGGAGCUGGUGAGUGACUUCAUGCAGGUGGAGGAGCCCAGAAUCGCUAAGCUGCAAGGUGGACAGGUUUUGAUUGGGCAGGAACUCGGAAUGACGACAAUUCAGAUACUGUCCCCUCUUUCGGAUGCCAUCUUGGCUGAGAAGACCGUGACCGUUAUGGAUGAGAAGGUGACAAUUACAGACCUCGGAGUUCAGCUGGUAACUGGGUUGUCACUCUCCCUCCAGCUCAGUCCAGGGAGCAAUAAGGCCAUCUUUGCUACCGCACAGUCACCGAAGCAGGAAGCGACCAUCAGCUGCUGGGUCCAGUUCAGUGAUGGAUCUGUCAUGCCCCUGGAUAUUUACGAUGUCAAAGAUUUCUCCUUGAUGGCUACCUCUCUAGAUGAAAAAGUGAUCUCCGUUCAUCACGACCCUAAAUUCAAGUGGCCCAUGCUCACUGCUGAGACUGAAGGCCAGGGGCCACUGGUGAAGGUAGAGAUGGUGAUCAGUGAACCAUGCCAGAAAUCCAAAAGGAAGAGUGUCCUGGCUGUUGGGAGUGGGAACAUUAAAGUCAAGUUCGGACAGAGUGACACCAAUCUUAAUGUCAGUGACAGCAAGCAAAGUGGAACUGGUGUCCACCUGGAAAACCAUGCAAGUGACCGGCGUCAGAAAACCACUUUUCAAGACAGAGUUAGGCCAGACGGGCAGUAUUACAGCAGCUCCUCAGUGGGCCGUAUGGAAGGCAGAGGAACUACCACGGACAGGUCAAUUUUAAGUAAAAAAGAGGACAGAGAAAGCCUUCUGGAUGAUGACAGCUAUAUGCAGAACAUUCCAAUAGACUUCACCAGUUUCCCUGCACAGGUAGACUUGCCACGAAGCAAUGGGGACUUGGAAGAAAAUGACCUUGUGCAGACGCCCCGAGGGCUCAGUGAUCUGGAGAUAGGAAUGUAUGCUUUGUUGGGAGUCUUCUGCCUGGCCAUCCUUGUCUUCCUUAUCAACUGUGUCACUUUUGCUUUGAAGUACAGGCACAAGCAGGUCCCUUUUGAAGAGCAGGAAGGCAUGAACCACUCUCAUGACUGGGUUGGGUUGAGUAACCGGGCAGAGCUUCUGGAGAAUCACAUUAAUUUCUCCUCCCCUCAAGAUGAGUGCAUCACUGCCAUUGACCGAGGGGUAGACUUUGAGGAAAGCAAGUAUCUUCUCAACACAAAUGCCCAAAAGAAUAUUAAUGAUCAGGUCCUCAGGUCACAAGAGUCCACAUUCACUGAAGGGAAAGAACAGAAAAGUGAACCAACUGCCUCUCCUACCUCCAAGCGGAAACGAGUCAAAUUCACCACAUUUACCACCAUCUCAUCUGACGAUGGAUGUCCUACUGUCAACUCCAUUCUGAUGAGUAGUGAGGAUGAUAUUAAAUGGGUGUGCCAGGAUAUGGACCUUGGGGAGUGCAAAGAGCUAAAAAACUAUAUGGAGAGGUUACAUGAGAAUGUGUAAUGAGACGCUAAGGACCAUUUUGGUUUUUGGUUUUCACACACCUUUCUGCCUUUAAUUUUGGGUAUUGGGGCAAAAAAUGCAUUGGCAAAUGAGAAUCAAGAGGUGAAUCAUACCUCACUGGAGCCCCAGAAAGCCACCCAAAACCAGCUGAGACACAGAGAUCCUGGCCAUCUCAUACAGUUCAAGUCUUCUAUGUUCUUGGAGACUGGAGCAAAAUGUAUGUGAGGUUUCAGAUGCAUGGCAAUAUGGGAAAAAAAACUUAGCAAAAUAAUAAGAUCUCAUUCUCUGAGCUUUCCCAGGAAAUCAAUAAAAAUAACAAACUCCAACACCGUUUGGAUAUUACAAAGCUCACACAGUUCUAAUGUUCAAUAUCACAGGCUGUAGUUAAAAGUGAAAAUCAGGCUUGGAAUAAAUGGAUCAAUGAAAGGAAGCUUGUCAUUCAAGACACAAGCAGAGGAUACCCAGCUGAGAACGUUAAUUUAAAGCUGACAAACAACUGCUGUAUGAGCAGCAGAGCAACCACAGUUGCAAAGUUAUGAAUUUCCAAAGAAUAAAGCAGGGCAGGGGGAGUGACUGAGUUGUUUACAGACCCGCAUGAUCAUCUUCCAAGCACUGAGAACGGUUACACAUGUACAGUGAUAACUGAAGCUUUCUUUUUAAGUAGAUGCUGAGAUAAUAAACUUUGCUGGCCAAUUUUCAGUAUUUCUUAAUUUGUAAAAUAGAAGGUAUAAUCUAUAAUCAACAUACUGCUCAUAUAAAGGAAGGUUUGCUUUGGAAAGGUUUGAGAAACCUUACGUCUUUUAAAGAAGCCCAUUUUAUCCAGUUUUCCUGUUUAAAUUUGUAUUCCCCAUGCAUUUUCCUGGAGCACUCUCAUUUGAUAUGCUGGGGGCACUUAUUAGCACUAAUCUGGUUUGUAAGUUUGGUGACUUUUCCCUUCUCUCAGAUCCAAAUUUAUUUAUCCACAGUGCAAUUUUGCCAAGCGCAGAAGCCAUUGGACCUAAAUGGGUACUUGCUUUACAUGUUGUAAUUUAUUAAAGUUAGCUAUUCUGUCUUGGGUAGGUAUAACUCGUGCUGAACUCAGAAACCAGUGGUGACUGGCUCUUUGUUCUCCUUCUUCUUUUGAGGUUAGAUUGCUCACUUCCACUUUGAUCAUGCAUUUUCAGACCCACUGCUGGGCAUAUUUAUAUGGCAACAUGAAGGCCAGGAAGGCGAAGGCUAAGCUUGGUAAAUAACAUUUGUUUCAUCCAGCAGUAUGAUUGUAUCUGCUCAUUCCUUUUACAUAUAUGUACAGUAGAAUUCCAGUAAUUGCCGUUUGAAUCUGAAGUGCCCUCUUGCCCUAAAACUGAGAAAUCAUCUGUUUGAUCCAGAGUUAAUUUCCAGUGACCAGUGGCAAAGUGCCAAGAAAUGAGGUUUGGUUUGGACUGCUUCUUUUUCCUAAUUUUCCUUUGGUUUGUAAACUAAGCCCAUGCCUUUAGUGGAUUACAAAGUCUCUCACAGCCACCAAAUCUAGGUUGUCCAAUUUAAUACUCUAUUCUACCCAGAAACGCCUUGACUGAAUCCCUCUGUAUUUAGAAUGUAUUGUAGAUUGUAAGAAUGUACUAUAUAUUUAUAAACAUACCAACGGCAAAUAAAAUUUGCAUUUCGGUGGGCUUCAUCUUUUUUCCUGUUCUCUCCCGUUGCCCUUGUUCACCUUUUAAAAGAGUACCAGCAAUGCAUACAACCGUCCUUGGUUUAAGGGAACACACAGAUUUAAGGAUCUCAGCACAAUCCAGUCACAAACUCUUCUCUCUUGUGCUGUGGCACUUUGUGUUGGGGAAAAAUAAAAUAACAACACAUUAUGAUGAAGUAUGUUUUUCACCAAGUCACCCUUUCAGGAUUUGGAACUCUUUGCAAAUAACACCUGUGUAUUUCUGCCUGGAAAGCUUUCUGUAUGAGAUGAGGAUGGUGUUCAGUUUGGGGCAGCCAGAAAGAGAGCAAUAGAUAUUGGCCCUUGUUUCUAUUUAUAAAAAUUCCUUAGAGGACAACUUUAAAAGAAUUACUUGGUGUAUCUAGAGAGGAGGCAAACAUACCAGGAGAAUGUGAAGAAUAAUAUUGGAUGUAGCAUAGGCCUAGCAUGUCAUGGAGAGUGUCUCUGUACAGGGGUCAGAUUAAUGAGGCCUCUUGUAUAUUGGCACGUGAGUAGAUGGCCUCUGAGGGUUUAGUGUUCUCUCUAUAAAGCCUUGUUUACAUUAACCCCCACUGCUGAUCUAUUUGACGUAACUUCAGCUUAUGCAAGUAGUGUAGCUGUAGUUGAUGUACUUACUGCAUCAUUUUGUGUGCAGUAAGGGCAGGCAGGGGCUGAUCUCCCAUCAACACCGACUACUCUUUUCAUCCUGAUGGAGUACCAGCAUUGACAAGAGAGUGCUUGGACACUGAUUUAUCGCAUCUAAGCAGAUGCAAUAAAUCGACAGCCAGUGGAUCAAUCAUUGCAGCAUCUAUCCCCAGCAUAAUGGAGAGAAGCCUCUGAAAGAUGUUUCAGUCCCUGGAAUCAGAGCAGUGACUCCACAUGGUAAAAUUUCCAUAUGUUUUCUGACACUCCACAGAAGUUUCCUCACUCAUGAGGAACCUAGGCUCAGAGGGUCAGGGCUAAAUGAGUCAAUUACAGGUGGUCCACAAGGCCCAAAUAUAGUAAGUCCUUCAGGGUACAUCUACACUACAGCAUUAUUUUGAAAUA